UGCCUUAUGUUAUGACAUAGGGGACGAGGAUUGUUGUCAACUCCUGAAGGUAAUUAUUUACUAAUUCUUUCA
rnacentral:ncRNA from 1 species